UACGAAGGGGGCUAGCGUUAAUCGGAAUUACUGGGCGUAAAGCGUGCGUAGGCGGUCCGCGAAGUCUGAUGUGAAAGCCCCGGGCUCAACCUGGGAACUGCAUUGGAAACUAACGGGCUCGAGUGUGGCAGAGGGGGGUGGAAUUCCACGUGUAGCAGUGAAAUGCGUAGAGAUGUGGAGGAACACCGAUGGCGAAGGCAGCCCCCUGGGCUAACACUGACGCUCAGGCACGAAAGCGUGGGGAGCAAACAGG
rnacentral:rRNA from 1 species